UAAGGAAUAUUGGUCAAUGGGCGCAAGCCUGAACCAGCCAUGCCGCGUGCAGGAAGACGGCCCUAUGGGUUGUAAACUGCUUUUGUACGGGAAAAAACCCCGGGUUUCGUACCUGGGCUGAUGGUACCGUAAGAAUAAGGAUCGGCUAACUCCGUGCCAGCAGCCGCGGUAAUACGGAGGAUCCAAGCGUUAUCCGGAUUUAUUGGGUUUAAAGGGUGCGCAGGCGGAAUGAUUAGUCAGUGGUGAAAUCCUACGGCUCAACUGUAGAACUGCCAUUGAUACUGUCAUUCUUGAGUAUAAUUGAUGUGGGCGGAAUGUGUCAUGUAGCGGUGAAAUGCUUAGAUAUGACACAGAACACCGAUCGCGAAGGCAGCUCACAAAGCUAUAACUGACGCUCAGGCACGAAAGCGUGGGGAUCAAACAGG
rnacentral:rRNA from 1 species